CUCUGGGGAGACUGCCGGUGAUAAACCGGAGGAAGGCGGGGAUGACGUCAAGUCCUCAUGGCCCUUACAUCCCGGGCUACACACGUGCUACAAUGGCAGGUACAGAGGGCUGCGAAGCCGCGAGGUGGAGCGAAUCCCAGAAAACCUGUCUCAGUCCGGAUUGAAGUCUGCAACUCGAUUUCAUGAAGGCGGAAUCGCUAGUAACCGCGAAUCAGCAGGUCGCGGUGAAUACGUUCCCGGGCCUU
rnacentral:rRNA from 1 species